rnacentral:rRNA from 1 species
GAUCAUGGCUCAGGUUGAACGCUGGCGGCAGGCCUAACACAUGCAAGUCGAGCGGGGUUUUCGGACCUAGCGGCGGACGGGUGAGUAAUGCGUAGGAAGCUACCCGAUAGAGGGGGAUACCAGUUGGAAACGACUGUUAAUACCGCAUAAUGUCUACGGGACCAAAAGUGUGGGGACCUUCGGGGCCACAUGCUAUCGGAUGCGCCUACGUGGGAUUAGCUAGUUGGUGAGGUAAUGGCUCACCAAGGCGACGAUCUCUAGCUGGUUUGAGAGGAUGAUCAGCCACACUGGAACUGAGACACGGUCCAGACUCCUACGGGAGGCAGCAGUGGGGAAUAUUGGACAAUGGGCGCAAGCCUGAUCCAGCCAUGCCGCGUGUGUGAAGAAGGCCUUCGGGUUGUAAAGCACUUUCAGCGAGGAGGAAGAGUUGUGUGUUAAUAGUACACAGCUUUGACGUUACUCGCAGAAGAAGCACCGGCUAACUCUGCG